CGGGCUGUAAUAUAGUGGCAGUAUAUGCGCUUCGGGAGUGUAAGGCCCGGGUUCGAUUCCCGGCAGCCCGACCA
rnacentral:tRNA from 1 species